UUACACGUUGUGGUNACCAUGCCUGGUGAGACUGGNCAUAACUCCGGGAAACCGGAGCUAAUACCGGAUAGUUCCUUGAACCGCAUGGUUCAAGGAUGAAAGACGGUUUCGGCUGUCACUUACAGAUGGACCCGNAGCGCAUUAGCUAGUUGGUGGGGUAAUGGCUCACCAAGGCGACGAUGCGUAGCCGACCUGAGAGGGUGAUCGGCCACACUGGGACUGAGACACGGCCCAGACUCCUACGGGAGGCAGCAGUAGGGAAUCUUCCGCAAUGGACGAAAGUCUGACGGAGCAACGCCGCGUGAGUGAUGAAGGUUUUCGGAUCGUAAAGCUCUGUUGUUAGGGAAGAACAAGUGCGAGAGUAACUGCUCGCACCUUGACGGUACCUAACCAGAAAGCCACGGCUAACUACGUGCCAGCAGCCGCGGUAAUACGUAGGUGGCAAGCGUUGUCCGGAAUUAUUGGGCGUAAAGGGCUCGCAGGCGGUUUCUUAAGUCUGAUGUGAAAGCCCCCGGCUCAACCGGGGAGGGUCAUUGGAAACUGGGAAACUUGAGUGCAGAAGAGGAGAGUGGAAUUCCACGUGUAGCGGUGAAAUGCGUAGAGAUGUGGAGGAACACCAGUGGCGAAGGCGACUCUCUGGUCUGUAACUGACGCUGAGGAGCGAAAGCCUGGGGAGCGAAACAGGAUUAGAUACCCUGGUAGUCCACGCCGUAAACGAUGAGUGCUAAGUGUUAGGGGGUUUCCGCCCCUUAGUGCUGCAGCUAACGCAUUAAGCACUCCGCCUGGGGAGUACGGUCGCAAGACUGAAACUCAAAGGAAUUGACGGGGGCCCGCACAAGCGGUGGAGCAUGUGGUUUAAUUCGAAGCAACGCGAAGAACCUUACCAGGUCUUGACAUCCUCUGACAACCCUAGAGAUAGGGCUUUCCCUUCGGGGACAGAGUGACAGGUGGUGCAUGGUUGUCGUCAGCUCGUGUCGUGAGAUGUUGGGUUAAGUCCCGCAACGAGCGCAACCCUUGAUCUUAGUUGCCAGCAUUCAGUUGGGCACUCUAAGGUGACUGCCGGUGACAAACCGGAGGAAGGUGGGGAUGACNUCAAAUCAUCAUGCCCUUUAUGACCUGGGCUACCCC
rnacentral:rRNA from 1 species